AUAUAUAAGAUAAAAAAAUAAUUAAAAGUGUAAAACUUUCUUUUAGGGAAAAAUGGCUUUUCAAACAAGGCCUAGUGUCCAUCUGUUCUCUUUCUUAGAUUGUCUUUUAUUGUGUAGAUAUACCAUAAACUCAAGUAAUCGUCCGUGUGGUACGUUUUACUAGAAUAUGGUGCCGAGAUGGAUGAAUGAAAGCUUCGAAAUCAGCUUGCAUUUUCUCCCCCCUUAGGAAGAUGAUUAAGUAGCAGGAGUCUGUCAUGUGGCCGCCACUAACCCGCAGGCAACAACGUAAUCUUGUGUUUUUGAUCAGUAAAGGAAAGGGGCCUCAGAAGAAGGCUGCAAUAGGGAAAAUAGUGUAAUGUGAGGAAGAUCAAGAGACAUCCUAAGUAAGCAAAAGGCUUGAAAAUUACUCGUUGGCAACAAAUGGAGAAAGUGAUUGAAUUGAUUAAAGAAUUACUCACGUAUAUAAUCUGAUAGGGGCAUGGAAUCAGUUGGAUGUGAAUGUAGGAGAGAAGAUCGAACUGAUUA